UACAGAGGGGGCAAGCGUUAUUCGGAAUUAUUGGGCGUAAAGGCGCGUAGGCGGCCUGGCAAGUGGAAGGUGAAAUCCCUCGGCUUAACCGAGGAACUGCCCUCCAAACUGCUUGGCUUGAGUCCGGGAGAGGUGAGUGGAAUUCCCAGUGUAGCGGUGAAAUGCGUAGAGAUCGGGAGGAACACCAGUGGCGAAGGCGGCUCGCUGGGCCGGACCUGACGCUGAGGCGCGAAGGCGUGGGGAGCGAACGGG
rnacentral:rRNA from 1 species